rnacentral:rRNA from 1 species
GAUGAACGCUGGCGGCAUGCCUAAUACAUGCAAGUCGAGCGAACAGACGAGGAGCUUGCUCCUCUGACGUUAGCGGCGGACGGGUGAGUAACACGUGGAUAACCUACCUAUAAGACUGGGAUAACUUCGGGAAACCGGAGCUAAUACCGGAUAAUAUAUUGAACCGCAUGGUUCAAUAGUGAAAGACGGUUUUGCUGUCACUUAUAGAUGGAUCCGCGCCGCAUUAGCUAGUUGGUAAGGUAACGGCUUACCAAGGCAACGAUGCGUAGCCGACCUGAGAGGGUGAUCGGCCACACUGGAACUGAGACACGGUCCAGACUCCUACGGGAGGCAGCAGUAGGGAAUCUUCCGCAAAGGGCGAAAGCUUGACGGAGCAACGCCGCGUGAGUGAUGAAGGUCUUCGGAUCGUAAAACUCUGUUAUUAGGGAAGAACAAAUGUGUAAGUAACUAUGCACGUCUUGACGGUACCUAAUCAGAAAGCCACGGCUAACUACGUG